GUUGAACUGAACAGAGCCAAGAACUGGGUCCCAUGGCCAUGUCCUAGAUCUAGCAAGAAACUGAGGCCUCCAAAAAACAGCUGCAUGGGUGAACUUGGAAGUAAAUACAAACGACUUGACAUUUUGGGUGCAAGCUCAUGAAAGACCCUAGAACAACCUAGCAAAUAUACUGCCAAAUUCUUGACUCGCUGUAAGAUCAGCUGCUCUGGGGGAAACCAGCUGCCAUUUCAUGAGCCUAUGAGCAGCUCUAGGGAGAGGUCAUGUGGCCAGGAAGUAAAGCUUCCAGCCAGCAGUUGUGUGAAGGCUCCAUCUUGGAAGUGGACCUCCAGCCCCAGGUCACUGAAGUGAAUGGGACCUCCUCUACCACGUGCUCCUGUUGUGAUGUACUGUGUUGCCACUGUCCCAAAGUGACCAAGCAACCACAGGCUGGUUUCAGACUGUGAGCCAAAAUAAAACUUUCCACUUUUUAAGUUGUUUAUCUAAGGUAUUUUGUCACAGUGAUGACAAAGCUGACCAAUACAAUGUAUAAAUAUUUCAAUGUCAAGGAGCAGGAGUUGAAGUCAGGCAUUGUGGUUUGUGCCUAUGAUCCUGGCUAUUUGGAAGACUGAGGCAAGAGAAUUGUGAGUUCAAGCUUUUGUUAAACUUCAGUCUUCUUAUCUACAAAAUAAGAAUCUUCCUCUAUUAUACCUCUUAAAUUGCUGUGGAGAUUAAAGAAGCCUAUUUAUGAAGUACUUAACCAGCAUCUGGCACACAAUAUGAAUCAAAUCACUUAUCUUUGGAGAAAAGAUUUAUAAGCAGUUGCUCUUGUACCACUCUACUAUCAACUUCCCACAAAAGGAUGUUUUUCUUUUAUAUUCAAGAUGGCCCUAUCCUCCUGCCAUGUGACAGCACAAUUAGAAGACAACCAUCUGAAAACCAUGAGGACAAUCUUUAUCAAGAACAUAAUCUGUCAGCACCGUGAUCUCCAUGCUCCAGAACUGUGGGAAAUGUUUGUUGUUUAAGCCAUCCAGUUAAUGGUGUUUUGUCAUAGCAGCAUGACCUGACUAAUACAGCACCUUCCCUCCGACAGCCAUCACUUCAGGCAUGUUGAACCAUUCCUUAAAUGUGCCAUCUUCUCCCUGGACUGGACGCUUUGGAAUCUGUAUUUUCUUCUCUUUUUCACAAAACUAACUCCUAUCGACUCACUGUAUUGAGUCAAAUAGGUUAAUAAAAAGAUCACAUAAUG